rnacentral:rRNA from 1 species
UGGGGAAUAUUGGGCAAUGGGCGCAAGCCUGACCCAGCAACGCCGCGUGAAGGAUGAAGGCUUUCGGGUUGUAAACUUCUUUUAUCAGGGACGAAUUAAGUGACGGUACCUGAUGAAUAAGCCACGGCUAACUACGUGCCAGCAGCCGCGGUAAUACGUAGGUGGCAAGCGUUAUCCGGAUUUACUGGGUGUAAAGGGCGUGUAGGCGGGACUGCAAGUCAGGUGUGAAAACCACGGGCUCAACCUGUGGCCUGCAUUUGAAACUGUAGUUCUUGAGUGCUGGAGAGGCAAUCGGAAUUCCGUGUGUAGCGGUGAAAUGCGUAGAUAUACGGAGGAACACCAGUGGCGAAGGCGGAUUGCUGGACAGUAACUGACGCUGAGGCGCGAAAGCGUGGGGAGCAAACAGG